rnacentral:rRNA from 1 species
GAGUCAACAUAGCAAUAUGUGGCAUACGGCUCAGUAACACGUAGUCAACAUGCCCAGGGGACGUGGAUAACCUCGGGAAACUGAGGAUAAACCGCGAUAGGUCAUCACUUCUGGAAUGGGUAAUGACUUAAAUCUAUAUGGCCCCUGGAUUGGACUGCGGCCGAUCAGGCUGUUGGUGAGGUAAUGGCCCACCAAACCUGUAACCGGUACGGGCUCUGAGAGGAGGAGCCCGGAGAUGGGCACUGAGACAAGGGCCCAGGCCCUAUGGGGCGCAGCAGGCGCGAAACCUCUGCAAUAGGCGAAAGCUUGACAGGGUUACUCUGAGUGAUUUCCGUUAAGGAGAUCUUUUGGCACCUCUAAAAAUGGUGCAGAAUAAGGGGUGGGCAAGUCUGGUGUCAGCCGCCGCGGUAAUACCAGCACCCCGAGUGGUCGGGACGUUUAUUGGGCCUAAAGCAUCCGUAGCCGGUUCUACAAGUCUUCCGUUAAAUCCACCUGCUUAACAGAUGGGCUGCGGAAGAUACUAUAGAGCUAGGAGGCGGGAGAGGCAAGCGGUACUCGAUGGGUAGGGGUAAAAUCCGUUGAUCCAUUGAAGACCACCAGUGGCGAAGGCGGCUUGCCAGAACGCGCUCGACGGUGAGGGAUGAAAGCUGGGGGAGCAAACCGGAUUAGAUACCCGGGUAGUCCCAGCUGUAAACGAUGCAAACUCGGUGAUGAGUUGGCUUAUUGCUAACUCAGUGCCGCAGGGAAGCCGUUAAGUUUGCCGCCUGGGGAGUACGGUCGCAAGACUGAA